rnacentral:rRNA from 1 species
CAUCCCGACUUACCAACCCGAUGCAAACUGCGAAUACCGGAGAAUGUUAUCACGGGAGACACACGGCGGGUGCUAACGUCCGUCGUGAAGAGGGAAACAACCCAGACCGCCAGCUAAGGUCCCAAAGUCAUGGUUAAGUGGGAAACGAUGUGGGAAGGCCCAGACAGCCAGGAUGUUGGCUUAGAAGCAGCCAUCAUUUAAAGAAAGCGUAAUAGCUCACUGGUCGAGUCGGCCUGCGCGGAAGAUGUAACGGGGCUAAACCAUGCACCGAAGCUGCGGCAGCGACACUGUGUGUUGUUGGGUAGGGGAGCGUUCUGUAAGCCUGUGAAGGUGGCCUGUGAGGGUUGCUGGAGGUAUCAGAAGUGCGAAUGCUGACAUAAGUAACGAUAAAGCGGGUGAAAAGCCCGCUCGCCGGAAGACCAAGGGUUCCUGUCCAACGUUAAUCGGGGCAGGGUGAGUCGACCCCUAAGGCGAGGCCGAAAGGCGUAGUCGAUGGGAAACGGGUUAAUAUUCCCGUACUUGGUGUUACUGCGAAGGGGGGACGGAGAAGGCUAUGUUGGCCGGGCGACGGUUGUCCCGGUUUAAGCGUGUAGGUGUGUGUUCCAGGUAAAUCCGGUUCACUUUAACACUGAGGCGUGAUGACGAGGCACUACGGUGCUGAAGCAACAAAUGCCCUGCUUCCAGGAAAAGCCUCUAAGCAUCAGGUAACAUCAAAUCGUACCCCAAACCGACACAGGUGGUCAGGUAGAGAAUACCAAGGCGCUUGAGAGAACUCGGGUGAAGGAACUAGGCAAAAUGGUGCCGUAACUUCGGGAGAAGGCACGCUGACACGUAGGUGAAGUGAUUUACUCAUGGAGCUGAAGUCAGUCGAAGAUACCAGCUGGCUGCAACUGUUUAUUAAAAACACAGCACUGUGCAAACACGAAAGUGGACGUAUACGGUGUGACGCCUGCCCGGUGCCGGAAGGUUAAUUGAUGGGGUCAGCGCAAGCGAAGCUCCUGAUCGAAGCCCCGGUAAACGGCGGCCGUAACUAUAACGGUCCUAAGGUAGCGAAAUUCCUUGUCGGGUAAGUUCCGACCUGCACGAAUGGCGUAAUGAUGGCCAGGCUGUCUCCACCCGAGACUCAGUGAAAUUGAACUCGCUGUGAAGAUGCAGUGUACCCGCGGCAAGACGGAAAGACCCCGUGAACCUUUACUAUAGCUUGACACUGAACAUUGAGCCUUGAUGUGUAGGAUAGGUGGGAGGCUUUGAAGCGUGGACGCCAGUCUGCGUGGAGCCGACCUUGAAAUACCACCCUUUAAUGUUUGAUGUUCUAACGUGGACCCGUUACCCGGGUUGCGGACAGUGUCUGGUGGGUAGUUUGACUGGGGCGGUCUCCUCCUAAAGAGUAACGGAGGAGCACGAAGGUUGGCUAAUCCUGGUCGGACAUCAGGAGGUUAGUGCAAUGGCAUAAGCCAGCUUGACUGCGAGCGUGACGGCGCGAGCAGGUGCGAAAGCAGGUCAUAGUGAUCCGGUGGUUCUGAAUGGAAGGGCCAUCGCUCAACGGAUAAAAGGUACUCCGGGGAUAACAGGCUGAUACCGCCCAAGAGUUCAUAUCGACGGCGGUGUUUGGCACCUCGAUGUCGGCUCAUCACAUCCUGGGGCUGAAGUAGGUCCCAAGGGUAUGGCUGUUCGCCAUUUAAAGUGGUACGCGAGCUGGGUUUAGAACGUCGUGAGACAGUUCGGUCCCUAUCUGCCGUGGGCGCUGGAGAACUGAGGGGGGCUGCUCCUAGUACGAGAGGACCGGAGUGGACGCAUCACUGGUGUUCGGGUUGUCAUGCCAAUGGCACUGCCCGGUAGCUAAAUGCGGAAGAGAUAAGUGCUGAAAGCAUCUAAGCACGAAACUUGCCCCGAG